rfam:Aedes aegypti strain Liverpool supercont1.664 genomic scaffold, whole genome shotgun sequence.
CAAUCGGCCCUUUUCAGGGCCGACAUAUAUGUACUAAAGAAUUAUUU